UCUUUCUUUUUCUUUUUCCUUUUCAACAAUGGAUGACCAAGAUAGAAGCCAAUUCAGGCAUUCUACAUAUAUUAUUCACCUGCCCCACAAAGACCUGUUCAUAAGUUGCAUCACCUCAUCUUUUAAGGGGUAUUCUGGUCAUUCAGCAAGCAAGAACAAAGAUUGGAUCAAGAUGCAAUUUUAAAUGAAAAUAUACAGCUCCAG
rnacentral:misc_RNA from 1 species